UUUGUCUCUUGCCCACUUGACUAAAAUCAAGUGUAGUAUCUGCUCUUACCAGAUUAAUAUCUGAUAUGUCCUCAGUUGAGAGGAAAAUUUUUUUUGAUCGGGUGCUGGAAUGGGCUGCCCAGGAAGGUGAUUGAGUCACCACCUCUG
ensembl:snRNA U2 U2 spliceosomal RNA